GGUCCACAGGGGCAAAGUAGUCUGUGAAGAAGCGCAUGAGCGCGAAACGUGUCGACUGUUGGCACUUGAGAGGAUCCGUACUGGAGGAUUCGGCCCAUACCGGUGACGUCACCGGAAGGAAGUGAAUGGCACGAAGCCGUUACUGAUAGCCUGUGCCUCUCUCUGCCUUACCCAAAUAUGAUAAUGUAAGGAAGCCCGGCCGAAUGCAUGUCCCCUAUCUGCUCUGGGAUAUUUGCUCCACUCGUGGAUUCAGACUUGCAGAAGAAGAAGCAAUGUAACUUGUGCAGCUGGGCUCGGGGGUCCCGGAACAAGAUCAAGAGGAAAGAAAGCCUCCCCUCAGAUCCCUCCCACAGAUCUGCUGUCCAUUGCAUUAUUAUCUUCCCAGACUUUGCACAAGUGCACAUUGCAUUUGUUAUUAUAAAGGGUUUUGUUGAAAUAAAGUGCAGAACUAGUAGUUGGUCGGUGAGCAGCAAAGGGCCCAGUAGAGUAUUUUGCAAAGCAAACAUGCACUUAUACACAAUCAGGAAGUGUCUAUUAUGGGGUUUCCCUUGUGUCCCUUUAGUGGUGGCUGAACUCAAGCCCUCAUUAGCUCACUUAUAUAGCGGAGCUGCAGUACAGUAACUAAUGGUGCGCCACGGGAUGGGUGUUUAUAGGUUCAUACAUAGGUCUGGUGUAGUCCUUACAGUUACAGAGUUCUCUGUAUUUAUUAUAAAUGUGCAGAAGCCCAAAACCAUUUGUGUUGCUUCCCUGACACUGAGUGCUAUCUGGUCCCAACUGGCUCACUUCUUAUUCCUUAAACACAGGAGAUUGGAUAAAGUUUUGUUUUUUAUUUGGGAUACUGGAAGCAUCAAUGUGGCCCUUGAGAACCUUUCAAAGUCACACUAGCUUUAGACCUACCCAGAGCAUUAGUAAUAUUAGAUAGAGUCUAUUCAGUUAGUAAGUGCCCAAGUCACAGGAAUCUUCACAAGUAUCUAGAAACAUCCCCACACAUUUGCAUGCAGCCUUUAUAAUGAUAUUUUAAGCAUAGUAUUAAAUAAUGCUCCUAUGAGGGUCUGCUUACAACUCCUUGAGCUUGGUACCCAGAGUCUUUAUCCUGUGUUCAUUUCUUGUGUAGCACUUGGCUUUGUUUUGCUGUGUCAGCUAAUUGCUGAUUCCCUAUAAACUUAUUCAUGUCUGGAUGUUUCAGCAGCAGGUUUCAUAAAAGCUGCCCCUUCCCUAAUCUUCUAUACAAGGUAUAGGCAUCUAUCAUCACCAUUGCAGGCCUGGUGGUUGACCAUGAAGGGCACCUUCCAUCCAACAAUUGUUUCCCCCACCGGAGGGUGCCAUAGGUGAUCAAUACAAACCAAGGAUCAGAACUGGUGUAAAGCAUAGGCAGCAGAAGAUGGUUUUGGUGGGGGGGGGGGGCUUGAAAAGAACUCUAUGGGGAGUGCGCAGCAAAGCCACAAAGGCCUAGGCCUAGGGCGGCAGGACUUAAGGGACGACAUGCCACCCAUCUGCAACUAAAUUCAGCAUUGCUUUCCAUUCCCAGUCAGGUAACCCAUAAGCUGCUGUACAUUUCAACUCAUAGAACCACACUGCAAGUUUUUCAAUGAGCUAAUAGCUAAUGAAGAACAAAAUUUAUAUAUUGACAUUAUAAGAAUAUAUAUUUUAUAAUAUGAGCGAUACUCAUUCAGGAGUUGCAGCUUUGUAACUGAGCAGCAUUUCCACCAUUCUUCCUAAAAAAAAGGCUACAUUAUGGUAUUACUAAUGAGGAUCUGUGGAUUUGUUUGCCUUGUUUGAAGUUAUUUGUGUUAUUUACUGUAAAUACAGAUAUGAGGAUAAAUAAAGAUAAGGCAGAAUAAA